UACGUAGGGGGCAAGCGUUGUCCGGAAUCAUUGGGCGUAAAGAGCGUGUAGGCGGUCCGUUAAGUCGGCUGUGAAAGUCCAAGGCUCAACCCUGGGAUGCCGGUGGAUACUGUCGGGCUCGAGUCCGGAAGAGGCGAGUGGAAUUCCUGGUGUAGCGGUGAAAUGCGCAGAUAUCAGGAGGAACACCAAUGGCGAAGGCAGCUCGCUGGGACGUGACUGACGCUGAGACGCGAAAGCGUGGGGAGCAAACAGG
rnacentral:rRNA from 1 species